GCCAGCGUGGUGAAGUGGUUUCAGCACUGGACUACAACUGUGGAGUCCAGGGUUCGAAUCCCUGCUCAACCA
rnacentral:tRNA from 1 species